UGGACAGAUUAUUAUAUUCGACUGUAUUCAUGGCGUAAAACAGGGGAUUACACUGUUUUUAAACGGAAAGUGAAUCAAUUAACAUAAUAGACUCCU
rfam:Nicotiana sylvestris Nsyl_contig81157, whole genome shotgun sequence.